AUUGAACGCUGGCGGCAGGCUUAACACAUGCAAGUCGAGCGGGGGAAGGUAGCUUGCUACUGGACCUAGCGGCGGACGGGUGAGUAAUGCUUAGGAAUCUGCCUAUUAGUGGGGGACAACAUCUCGAAAGGGAUGCUAAUACCGCAUACGUCCUACGGGAGAAAGCAGGGGAUCUUCGGACCUUGCGCUAAUAGAUGAGCCUAAGUCGGAUUAGCUAGUUGGUGGGGUAAGGGCCUACCAAGGCGACGAUCUGUAGCGGGUCUGAGAGGAUGAUCCGCCACACUGGGACUGAGACACGGCCCAGACUCCUACGGGAGGCAGCAGUGGGGAAUAUUGGACAAUGGGGGGAACCCUGAUCCAGCCAUGCCGCGUGUGUGAAGAAGGCCUUAUGGUUGUAAAGCACUUUAAGCGUGGAGGAGGCUACUUUAGUUAAUACCUAGAGAUAGUGGACGUUACUCGCAGAAUAAGCACCGGCUAACUCUGUGCCAGCCGCCGCAGUAA
rnacentral:rRNA from 1 species